CAUGCAAGGUUCGGUUUCUUUUUUUGUAACAUAAGGACGCGGGUCCGUUGGGGUUUCAGGAAGCAGAUGUUCAAAAUGUCAUGCGGCG